GAUGAACGCUGGCUACAGGCUUAACACAUGCAAGUCGAGGGGAAACGACGGGGAAGCUUGCUUCCCCGGGCGUCGACCGGCGCACGGGUGAGUAACGCGUAUCCAACCUGCCUCUGACUGAGGGAUAACCCGUCGAAAGUCGGCCUAAUACCUCAUGGCAUCGUCUGCGGGCAUCCAACGACGAUUAAAGAUUUCAUCGGUCAGAGAUGGGGAUGCGUCUGAUUAGCUUGUUGGCGGGGUAACGGCCCACCAAGGCGACGAUCAGUAGGGGUUCUGAGAGGAAGGGCCCCCACAAUGGAACUGAGACACGGUCCAAAAUCCUACGGGAGGCAGGAGGGAGGAAUAUUGGUCAAUGGGCGAGAGCCUGAACCAGCCAAGUAGCGUGCAGGAUGACGGCCCUAUGGGUUGUAAACUGCUUUUAUGCGGGGAUAAAGUGAGGGACGUGUCCUUCAUUGCAGGUACCGCAUGAAUAAGGACCGGCUAAUUCCGUG
rnacentral:rRNA from 1 species